UACGUAGGGGGCUAGCGUUGUCCGGAAUCAUUGGGCGUAAAGCGCGUGUAGGCGGUCCGGUAAGUCCGCUGUGAAAGUCGGGGGCUCAACCCUCGAAUGCCGGUGGAUACUGUCGGGCUAGAGUGCGGAAGAGGCGAGUGGAAUUCCUGGUGUAGCGGUGAAAUGCGCAGAUAUCAGGAGGAACACCAAUUGCGAAGGCAGCUCGCUGGGACGUUACUGACGCUGAGACGCGAAAGCGUGGGGAGCAAGCAGG
rnacentral:rRNA from 1 species